UAAAUGGAGAAACAUUUAGACUUACAAUAGAGAUAUGAUCUCCACUUGAGUACUUCUCAAAAGUUAUACGCAUCAUCAGCUAAAUAGAUUUAGUGAUGUGUUUAGAUUACUCAUUCAAGGUUGUCAGUGUGAGGAUAAUUGUGUACAUGGACAUGUUUAUAAGCAACUAUGUUUAUAUCAAGUCCAUUUGUCAUGUAAUACGCGCUAAGCUUGAAAUGUGGAAA
rnacentral:misc_RNA from 1 species